rnacentral:rRNA from 1 species
UAAAGAAUUUCGGUAUGGGAUGGGGAUGCGUUCCAUUAGUUAGUUGGCGGGGUAACGGCCCACCAAGACGACGAUGGAUAGGGGUUCUGAGAGGAAGGUCCCCCACAUUGGAACUGAGACACGGUCCAAACUCCUACGGGAGGCAGCAGUGAGGAAUAUUGGUCAAUGGACGAGAGUCUGAACCAGCCAAGUAGCGUGAAGGAUGACUGCCCUAUGGGUUGUAAACUUCUUUUAUAUGGGAAUAAAACGUUCCACGUGUGGGAUUUUGUAUGUACCAUAUGAAUAAGGAUCGGCUAACUCCGUGCCAGCAGCCGCGGUAAUACGGAGGAUCCGAGCGUUAUCCGGAUUUAUUGGGUUUAAAGGGAGCGUAGGUGGAUUGUUAAGUCAGUUGUGAAAGUUUGCGGCUCAACCGUAAAAUUGCAGUUGAAACUGGCAGUCUUGAGUACAGUAGAGGUGGGCGGAAUUCGUGGUGUAGCGGUGAAAUGCUUAGAUAUCACGAAGAACUCCGAUUGCGAAGGCAGCUCACUGGACUGCAACUGACACUGAGGCUCGAAAGUGUGGGUAUCAAACAGGAUUAGAUACCCUGGUAGUCCACACAGUAAACGAUGAAUACUCGC